rnacentral:rRNA from 1 species
UACAGAGGUGGCAAGCGUUGUUCGGAAUUACUGGGCGUAAAGGGCGCGUAGGCGGCCAUCUAAGUCAGACGUGAAAUCCCCCGGCUUAACCUGGGAACUGCGUCUGAUACUGGACGGCUAGAGUUUGGGAGAGGGAUGCAGAAUUCCAGGUGUAGCGGUGAAAUGCGUAGAUAUCUGGAGGAAUACCGGUGGCGAAGGCGGCAUCCUGGACCAAUAUUGACGCUGAGGAGCGAAAGCCAGGGGAGCAAACAGG